rnacentral:rRNA from 1 species
UACGAAGGGUGCAAGCGUUAUCCGGAUUCACUGGGUUUAAAGGGUGCGUAGGUGGGCAAGUAAGUCAGUGGUGAAAUCUCCGGGCUUAACCCGGAAACUGCCAUUGAUACUAUUUGUCUUGAAUACUGUGGAGGUCAGCGGAAUAUGUCAUGUAGCGGUGAAAUGCUUAGAUAUGACAUAGAACACCAAUUGCGAAGGCAGCUGGCUACACAAAUAUUGACACUGAGGCACGAAAGCGUGGGGAUCAAACAGG